GGCGCCGGGAGGGAUUUUGUGACGGGAGAAGAUACGCCUGGGUUCGGGGCUGAGCAAGGCAGCCCACACCGGCCUGCAGCGAAGGUUCCGUGGCUUCCCAAGCCAUGUCGGUGCUGUGUCAAGGCACGGGCUUGCCAAACCCCGGCUGCUAAGCACAUUUAUACGUGCUUUGAGUUCAGCCUGCCCCUGCCCGCCUGUGUCCAUGUAUGACUGAGUCCUUGUAGCAGUUCCUGCUGCGCUACCGUGGAGUAGCUCAUUUCCUUCUGACUCAGCUUUGUCAGUCACGGAGUGCAUUGCUCUGGCUUUAGGCUCAGGCCCUCGCUACUCUUCUGAGGUGCUCACUCACAGAAGAGCUCUAAGCUCGUCACUGCUCCUGGGAUCUGCUUGCCCUUGCACAGCGUGCAUGUAAAACUGUGCUGGAGAGGUCCACAGCAAAUCUCAGAAGUGGAAACACUCUCCAAGCAAACACCUCUAAGCAUGGAGGAGUGCGUGCUCCAGUUGUGAAAAUGAGUGUGAAAAUUCCCCCCACGUUUCCACGUUACGCAGAACAAAAUUGUAGUGUCUGGAAAGAUAGAAACUCAAGGUUAAUGUGGAAGAGAGGAAUGAAGACACUUGGAAGCUGAGAUUACUAGUCAGCCAGCAAUGUGAACGCCUCUCUGACACGCUCUUGCCAAGAAAUCCUUCCUACGUAGACAAAACUUGGAACAAAGGUACCCAACACACAAGGAAAAAA